CAAAAUCGAAGGAUGAAGUAAGUGAAGGAGGACUGCACUAAGAAUUCAAAGGCAAUCAUCAGAACAGUGACUUCAGAAACAAAGGAUCAGUGUUGUUAGAUUUCAUAAUGGAACUAGAUAACCUGCAGCAGCUUCAGGCACUAUCUAAGCUGUUGAGGAUCUACAAACUGCAGUAUAUGGCGCAAGACUACAGGAUGUUUGCAUACUGUCAAGACUAAGGAAUUGGACACAAUGGUGCCGAGAUCACAUUAAAGCGGUAGUAAACCACCAUAUAUUUUUCUGAAACCUGCAAAGCAAAGUUAUGAUGUGCUAGUAUGCAUCACAUACUAGCACAUUAUGUGAAAUAUACCUUAAAAUGAAGCCCUCCAGCGUCACACAGGGCUUCCAUCCUGUGAGAUAAAUUAUCCGUUCUUCCUUCCAGGUUGGCGGGUUCCGAUCCUUUGACUGGAAGAGUCAGGCCUCGUACACACGACCGAGGAACUUGAAACAUCGUUUUC